rnacentral:rRNA from 1 species
CGAAAGCCUGACGGAGCAACGCCGCGUGAGGGAGGAAGGCCUUAGGGUUGUAAACCUCUUUUCUCAGGGAAGAAGUACUGACGGUACCUGAGGAAUAAGCCUCGGCUAACUCCGUGCCAGCAGCCGCGGUAAGACGGAGGAGGCAAGCGUUAUCCGGAAUUAUUGGGCGUAAAGCGUCCGUAGGUGGCUAAGCAAGUCUGCUGUUAAAGAGCGGAGCUAAACUCCGUAAAGGCGGUGGAAACUGCAUAGCUAGAGUGUGGUAGGGGUAGAGGGAAUUCCCAGUGUAGCGGUGAAAUGCGUAGAUAUUGGGAAGAACACCGGUGGCGAAGGCGCUCUACUGGGCCACAACUGACACUGAUGGACGAAAGCUAGGGGAGCG